rnacentral:tRNA from 1 species
GAAAUAUAAAUAUAAAGCUUCUAACUUUAAAAUAUAGUGAUUAAUUAUUCAUUAAUAUUUCU